GUCUAUGGUCAUACCACCCUCAAUGUGCCCGAUCUCAUCUGAUCUCAAAAGCAAAGCAGGGUCAGGCCUGGUUAGUACUUUGAUGGGAAAAAAAUCAAUUGCUUUGAUCU
ensembl:rRNA 5S_rRNA 5S ribosomal RNA